UUAUAGGGCUCAGCGGUAGAGCGCUCGCCUCGCACAUGUGAGACCUGGGUUCGAUCCUCAGCACCACAUAAA
rnacentral:tRNA from 1 species